rnacentral:rRNA from 1 species
UGCGUAGGCGGCGGCAUAAGUCAGAAGUGAAAGUUGGCAGCUUAACUGCAAAAUUGCUUUUGAUACUGUGUUGCUUGAAUCAAGUUGAGGCUGGUGGAAUGUGGCAUGUAGCGGUGAAAUGCUUAGAUAUGCCAUAGAACACCAAUUGCGAAGGCAGCUGGCUAAGCUUGUAUUGACGCUGAGGCACGAAAGCGUGGGGAGCGAACAGGAUUAGAUACCCUGGUAGUCC